UGUCUGCUUGCCUCUCUCACUAGCAACCAAUCCUGAUAAAUCUAUUUCUGGCCUAUCGCUUUAUCUCCGACUGAAUUCCUUCUGCGUAGAGACAUGAAGAGCCUGAGCCUUAGUGACUCCAGACACAGGGAACACCACAGAAGGGAUGCUGUGUUCUUCUCAGUGCAUCGUUAUCAGGAGUGCACGAUACCAGGUGAUGUCGAUUUGUCCCAUCACCAGAGAUGGCAAAAGAGAUGUCCUGUUCUGUUAUCACGUGGAACAGUGACAGUACACGCUCCACAUCUAACGAGGGCAGGAAGGAUGCAUCCUUGCUCAUCCUGCUACUUCAGUGUCCUUCUAACAGAGAGAUUCUCCUGGGUGGGCACCAAGGACCACUCAGCAGAAAAGAGAAGAGUAAUUUAUAGGGACUGAAAGCAAAUCAGUGAUCUGGGUUAGCAGGGUAGGAGAGUUGUUUACUGACUGUGGAGGAGACUCUAGGACCUUGGCAAAUUCCUGGAUCACCCAAGUUCCAGUAUUCUAUAAAAUAAGGAAUCACACCUCUUCACAGGGCAUCUAAGAGGAAGAAAUGAGAUGUGUGUCCUACAUGCAGUAGAAGAUUUUGUAAGCUCUGGAUAGCGGUCUCCUCACCGGUCUUGUCCCCUGCUCUGUCACCAGUACCCAGCAUGUGCAAGGAACAGAGGAAGUGCUCAAUGGGUGUGCAUUUGUGACCAUAUGAAAAGCAGGCCAGAUGAACCUUGGGGAAAUAUCGCUAAAUGUUGCAGAGGUGACUGGAUGAUCAGAUGAGUAUUGCCACACAGGUAAUGCCUGCUGCUUCGGAAAAAAUCAGAGGUCGCGAGGCUGGAAACCAAUAUGUCAAGUUGAGAAGUGAGGAAUUGCAGGAUAGAAACUCGCUUUGUAAAACCAGUACAGCUGAGGAGACAGAAGCAAGGAACUGUGGCUUCACAGAAUCGGUCAAAGCCAUACAAGCCAGAUUUCCUUGAAACUUCAAUGUUUACGACACUACCAAACACUGAGAUGAAAUCCAGUUCAAUUAAGCAGGUGUUCACUGAACGGCAGCUCCUCGUCAAGCUCUUUUCUAGGCACUGGGAGCAUCACGCAAAGAGGAUAAAGCAGAGCCAUUUGCUCUCCAAGAGCUGACAGCUUAGGUGUGGAGACCACACACACACACGGGAGCCAGGUAAACCGCUCACCUGGACUGCUGACCUAAGUGGCCCUCACCCUAUGUGCUCGCCCAAGUGCUGCAGCCGGGAGUCAGGGGUUGAGAGCCGAGUGUCGGCCGAACAGUGAAGGAAGACACAGGGCUCCCAGGACCCCCUCUCUGAAAGCAACAAGGCCCUGAGGAGUUGUCCUUGUCUGGUCAUCCUCCAAGAAAUACAGAAUCUUUGGAUGAGGAGGACCACGUGCCCAGUGAGCUCCUCCCAGGGGCCAACGUCCACCUCUUCACCUCGAGGUUCUCAGCUUUAAGGUCACUUCCAGACAGGUCUUCCCAGGCCUCUCAGUUUAAAACUAGGUCCUGGAGUUCCUGCUGCGGCUCAGCGGUUAACGAAUCCGACUAGGAAC